rnacentral:sRNA from 1 species
GUGAAGGGAGCCCUUAUUUCUAGCUCUCUAAAGGACAACUACAUCAAACAGGGGUAGUAUGAGCUUCCCUAACAUUGCCCCACCAGAGUGUCUGAAUUCAGACCUGGAGGGACCAACUACAUAGGUGUAAAAGCAUCUUUAAGCCUCCUUUUGGUCCCUGCCUUGU